AAUAGAAGGCGUUUGUAAAUGCCUCCAAAUGUGUUACAAUCUCUCACGCGCUCUCUCUCCCUCUCUCUUGAAACCCACAUUCUCUGCUGGGCACCCUCAAAUCUCUCGUUUACUCUCUUCGCUUCAGCUCGGUGAUAUUGAUUUCGUAAAGCAGCUUCCUUUUCAUAAAUCAAUACCUUGCCCCCUUCUCAUAAAUCAAUAUGUAGCUCGAUGAUUCGGCUCGGUGAUUUCGAUUUCGAAGUUCUCUUGCUCGAUUUGGAAGCUCCACCGCCACCGCCAUUUGCAUCGUCUACUAAGGUGAGUCAUCUGCAUCGAUUUUGAUUCAAUCUCAGUUUCGUAUUCUCUCUCUCUCUCUCUCUCUCUCUCUCUCAAGCUCGUCAUUCCGUCGAUUCUUCUCCUCCGAGGGUUUACAAUCUUGAAUCUCCUCCUAGGGUUUGCCCCUUGCGAUUUCAAGCGGUAAAUUCUCUCUCUGAUCUUGAAAUUCAUAUUUAAUUAUAAAUUUGUUGUGAGAGAUUUGAAUUUGAAUCCAUGUGUUCAUUUGAUUUGAAUUUGAAUAUGAAUAUGAAUUUAUAGUUGUCAAAUCGUGAAAUUCAAUCUAUGAUGCUAUGAUGUUGAACUUGAGUGAUUGCUUCCUCAUGAAUUUACUUGAGUUAUUGUGUGCUUGUGAUCUCUAAGUUUAUAUUGCAAUGCUUCCUAUUCUUGACCAAAACAAUGUAGAUAGAUUUUCAUAGUAGUGACUGAAAGUCAGUCACUGCUGAAUUUGUUCAUAGCAGUGACAGAUUUUCUUGCAAGAAAUAAGCUCUUUGGCAAAUUUGCAACAACUCUUUCUUGUUGGAAAUAAGCUCUCUGACAAAGUCAUGUGUAAAACAAAUAUUUUAGUGAAUAAUAUUCAGAUUUUCAGUGCCUAGAUAGCCUCUUUGUUGCUGUUUUUAUUAUUUGUUUUUGGGUAGAAAUUGCUUGCAUGAAGUUGAAUAUUUGUGUAGAAAAAUCAGAUUUACAUGUGUUGUGUUUGUGCCCUGUUAUGCCCUGUUUGUGGCUGUUUUUUUUGUAUUAUUAACUAUUUUUUUUGUUUGUUUUUGACUUUCUGUUCUUUUUUCCCUCGUGUCACCCAUGUAAAAAAUGUUAACAUUGAUCAAAUUCAGAUGAUUGAUGAUGUACCUAAUUUGAGCUUUCUUGACUGUAGAAAACUACUUUCUCUUUCACCCAAUGCUGUGGGUGCUAAUCAGACAUCUGAACAUGGUCUUCUCUCUGAGCUCAACGUCGAUGGUUCUAUGCUUAGUUCUGGAAUUCUGCGACCAAGUUUCUCUUCUAUUGUUGAUGAAGUGUUUGAGCUUGAGAGAGGGUCAUCUGCACCUUCUUUUUCUAGUUAGAGUCUCUCUUCAUCAUUUAAUGCAUCUGCUGCAGCGCAUUAUGGCUCUGUUCCAAUGAAUUUUCAGAGUAUGAAAGUUGGAACCUCCUCACCUAAGCGAAAGGGAGGAACACAAAUAGCACAGAUCAAUAAUGCUCCUAAAGUUUCUGGUGGAUCUCUCAAUCAUAAGAAUGGCUCUAUUUAUUCAACUAGCAAUUUGAAGGGCAUCAUGUAAUCUAGCUCUGUGAGUUCACCACCUUCUGGUUUAGGAAGGAGCACAACUUUGAAGAAACUGUCUGCUUCAAAAUCUGACCAGGAUUUGGCUUCUCUUAGAUCUCCACAUUUUGCUAAUUCUUGUGCCACAGUGGAUUUGUCUUCUCCACCAAGACUGACUGGCCCCCAAGUUUCUGCACCAAUUGUAAAACGUAACGGGCCUAGAACCUCAGCAAUUGGAUCUUUUAAAGUUUCUGGAUCUAGCCCUUGGGCUACAGCUACCAUAUCCGAAGCACCAGAUUUUGCAGUUAGUCCUAGCUCAAAUCUUGAUGCUGUUACUAGACAUGAUAGAAGAUCAAGAAAGCGUACAGUUUCAGAUAUGUUGAACGUGAUUCCAUCACUUCAAUGUUUAGAACUCCAGUCAGAUUUAGUAAGAGAAGAAAAAUCAUGGAUUCGGGAUUCAGUCGUCAGACUUCACCACAGUCACUCAUUUCAUCGGAGAUGAUUGGCAAAACUGAAGGUUACAGUUAUGCAAGUCUAAUUGCUAAAGCAAAUAAAGGAAAUGCACCCUCUAGCAUAUAUGUUUCAGCACUUCUUCAUGUGGUCAGGCGUUCCUCACUUUGUAUCAAGCAUGCUCGACUAUCUAGCCAAAUGGAUGCACUUGACAUUCCAUAUGUUAUCAUUCUGUGGAGGCAGAUAGCAGCAAGAAGUUAGUGGCAGAUAUCCAAAGGCUCUCCAAUGCUAGAAUGUUUGCACUUGGAAUGCAAAAACUGCUUGGAGUAAGACCAGAUGAGAAACUAGAAGAAGACAAUGCAAACUCCGAUGGUAAAGCAACAGCUGGAGCAAAAAGUGCUCUCGAGGCAUCUGACAAAUUUUUGGAACAAAUGAGGAGGGCUUUUCGCAUUGAGGCAGUUGGCUCAUGAGCUUGUGGUUUAGUUUUGGUUCGGGGGUGCUUGCUUGCUUUGUUGUCGAGUGGGAGUCUGGUAAAGAGGGAUCCACGAUGCAUGUUUCUCCUGACCAGCUUUGGCCUUAUACCAAGGUUUGUCUAUUUUGUUUUCUAUCUUUAUUGUGUUUCGUUUCCAUUGUUUGGAUUUGACUUAAUCUCCAACCCCAGAAUCAAAUACUUCCCUACAGCUUGGCCAUCCCAGAUGGACUAAGCUGCUUUUCUUUUUCUUUUUUUUUUGUUUGUUUUUGACUCUCUGUUCCCCCCCGACCCCAACAAAUAUUUAGUCUAAUGGAAAUCAACCUACUUCAAUUAUUUUCUUUUUCUUUUUUUGGAAAUGUUACAGAGGUAUUUUUGUAUAUAUAUACACUGCAAGGUUGUUAUAAGGUAGGGUUAAACUUGUGAUAUGCUUUACAGUAGCCACAUGUUAGCUAUAGGUUAAGACAGUUGCAGUCAGAGUCAGUGAGGAAGCUACUUAUGGCCUAAGGUCUCCAAAAUUCAUCCAAUAACCCUAUAUUUUGGAGUAUUUCUAUAAUGUAUAUGACAUGGUCCCUAAAUUUUUCCAAAAUUCUUUUGGUUUUCCUAUAUUUCAUGAGUAUUUUUACAGCGUAUAUGGGAUGACUAUUCACAUAUUAACAUUAUAUAAUAGCAUCAAUGUGUACUUUGGCACCCAAAAAGAAUACAAUAUGUAAAAGCAUUUUUUUUUAAAUACAAAAAUUAUAGAGGUAUUUUUUCAUUCAUAGAGGUAUUUCUUUUUAAAUAAAGCAGCUACUGUGAAAAUAAUAUAACAAAAAUAAGGAUCAAGGUAAGUUGUAGUUUCCUAAUCAGUUAGUUGAGCUACCUAAGCUUUACCUCUCCAUUUCCCAAAUGGCCCUUUGGAUGUUGUCAUUUGUGGCAGAUUAUACUCCAAUGGCUGUGAAUGAUCUAAACAUCACUUUGGAUAAAGUUAUGCUAAUGAACCUUAUGUAGUAAUGCCAUUUUAUUCAGAUAUUCUCACCCAUUUGGGUUCACCAGGUAAGUUCAAUCUAAAUCCGGCCAGCCUUAUCAGAUUGUUUUUGGGUAGCUUUUGCCACUAUAUAAAAUUAAUUAUCAUAGUUUCAUGUGGUUACCACCCAAUUUUGGGUAGCUUUUGUCAAUUUUGAAUUUGUCAGAGCGAUGGGUUGUUUCUUUGGUUGCUUCUGAAUCAGAGACGAUCAUCGCCACCCCCCAACUCAUCUCGUCCCAGAACCACUUCCUUCAAAGGAACCUGUUGUAUCUCAGAAUCCUCUGUCAUCUCUAUUACUCGCUGAUGAUAAAGAUAUUGAUUUCCAUGUAAGGAUAAGGAAAAUCCUUCCUUGAGAACUCCUGAGCAUGGCAACAACAACAGGGAGCUCAAGGAUGAGGUGAUGAGGUUUGAACAGUGGGCUUCCUGUUUUGGUUGUGUUUACAUAUUGUGUGAAUACUAGUGCCUGCCCUUAGACUUGGCUUGGAACUUUUUGUUUUGUUUUGGCGCAUUGUAUAUAUUGAGACAUGUCUCUUUUGAUUUGUACUUCUUAAUUUAUAGAUGUUAUCAUUUGUAUUUGUGCCAUAAGUUGGUAAAUUUAAUGUAUGAAAGUUCAUUUCACAUGA